ensembl:lncRNA
GUCCCAUCAGCUGAGAGUAGCCUCCACAUUGCAGUGAUGUGCAAACUUCUGCUUUUAAGUCAUGAUGGACUUAGGAUCUAACCUGAGGACCAUACACAAGGCACAGGUUCUGAGCCUGAUGGAGAGGACUCCUGCUAAACCCAGUGUUCCCAAGAAACUGGCUGUAUCGGCAGGGCUAAGUGUAGAGGAUUCUCCACGACCCUGAGAACACAAUUUGGAAAUCUCAGGAAUGACUCUGCAUGUGGUCAACACAAACUACCCUGGAAGACCAGAGAGUUCAAGGACGGCCAACUUUCACUUAAGCAAACUUUUUCACAGAGUGUGUGGGUCCCAUCAGCAGAGAGUAGCCUCCACAUUGCAAUGAUGUGC